rnacentral:rRNA from 1 species
UACGGAGGAUCCAAGCGUUAUCCGGAAUCAUUGGGUUUAAAGGGUCCGUAGGCGGCUUUAUAAGUCAGUGGUGAAAUCCGGCAGCUCAACUGUCGAAUUGCCAUUGAUACUGUAGGGCUUGAAUCGUUGUGAAGUAACUAGAAUAUGUAGUGUAGCGGUGAAAUGCUUAGAUAUUACAUGGAAUACCAAUUGCGAAGGCAGGUUACUAACACCGUAUUGACGCUGAUGGACGAAAGCGUGGGGAGCGAAC